rnacentral:rRNA from 1 species
GAUGAACGCUAGCGGUAUGCUUAACACAUGCAAGUCGUACGGGAGUUUUUAACUCAAGUGGCGGACGGGUGAGUAACACGUGAGAAUUUACCUUUAGGAGGGGGAUAACAAUUGGAAACGAUUGCUAAUACCCCCAUAUGCUUUUUUAAGUGAAACGGAUUUAUUCGCCUAAAGAAAGCUCGCGGCUGAUUAGCUAGUUGGUAAGGUAAUGGCUUACCAAGGCGACGAUCAGUAUCUGGUUUGAGAGGAUGAUCAGACACACUGGAACUGAGACACGGUCCAGACUCCUACGGGAGGCAGCAGUGGGGAAUUUUCCGCAAUGGGCAAAGCCUGACGGAGCAAUACCGCGUGAGGGAAGAAGCCUACUGGGUUUGUAAACCCUCUUUUUUCAGGGAGGAAAAAUGACGUGUACCUGAAGAAUAAGCAUCGGCUAACUCCGUGCCAGCAGCCGCGGU